rnacentral:rRNA from 1 species
AAACCAUUCUCCCCCCUAAGUCCAGGCGAUAAAAAAGGAAAUUUUGGAGCAAUAGAAAAAGUACCGCAAGGGAAAGCUGAAAGAGAGAUGAAAAAGCCCAGUAAAGCUUAAAGAAGCAGAGCUUAAAGCUCGUACCUUUUGCAUCAUGAUUUAGCAAGCACUUUCAAGCAAAGAGAACCUAAAGUUUGUAACCCCGAAACUGAGUGAGCUACUCCAAGACAGCCUAUUUAUAGGGCGAACCCGUCUCUGUGGCAAAAGAGUGGGAAGAGCUUUGAGUAGAGGUGACAAACCUACCGAACUCAGUUAUAGCUGGUUGCCUGUGAAUUGAAUAGAAGUUCAGCCCCCUGGAUUCUCCACUCAUGCACUUUAUUUAACCCUUCAGACGCAAUGAGAAACCAGGGGUGUUAGUCAAAGGGGGUACAGCCCCUUUGAAACAAGACACAACUUUCCCAGCAGGAUAAAGAUCAUAUUCAAAUAAGGACAGAUGUUUUAGUGGGCCUAAAAGCAGCCACCUUAACAGAAAGCGUUAAAGCUCAAACAUGAAGCCCUCCCGUUAUACCGAUAACCUUAUCUUAAUCCCCCACAUUUAACAGGCCCUCCUAUGCAUCACAUAGGAACGACUAUGCUAAUAUGAGUAAUAAGAAAGUAUAACCACUUUCUCCUUGCACAUGUGUAAAUCGGAACGGACCCCCCACCGAAUCUUAACGGCCCCAAUCAAAGAGGGUAUUGGAAACCACCACAAAUUUAGGCCAGAAAAACAUCCAAUGAAAACCCGUUAACCCCACACUGGUGUGCCCAAAAGGAAAGACCAAAAGGGGGAGAAGGAACUCGGCAAACAUACCCCAAGCCUCGCCUGUUUACCAAAAACAUCGCCUCUUGCAUAACCACAGUAUAAGAGGUCCCGCCUGCCCAGUGACAACUUAGUUCAACGGCCGCGGUAUUUUGACCGUGCAAAGGUAGCGUAAUCACUUGUCUUUUAAAUGAAGACCUGUAUGAAUGGCAUAACGAGGGCUUAACUGUCUCCUUCCCCUGGUCAAUGAAAUUGAUCUCCCCGUGCAGAAGCGGGGAUAAAACCAUAAGACGAGAAGACCCUAUGGAGCUUUAGACACACAGGUGGACCAUGUCAAAUACCCCCAGCUAAGGGCCCGAACUAAAUGGAACCUGCCUUGAUGUCUUCGGUUGGGGCGACCAUGGGGAAUACAAAACCCCCACGUGGAAAGGGAGCACACCCCUAAGUUACUUCUUCUCCCGCAAGCCAGAGCAACAGCUCUAACAAGCAGAAAUUCUGACCAAACUGAUCCGGUAAAACCGAUCAACGAACCAAGUUACCCUAGGGAUAACAGCGCAAU